AUUGAACGCUGGCGGCAGGCCUAACACAUGCGAGUCGAGCGGAUGAAGGGAGCUUGCUCCUGGAUUCAGCGGCGGACGGGUGAGUAAUGCCUAGGAAUCUGCCUGGUAGUGGGGGAUAACGUCCGGAAACGGGCGCUAAUACCGCAUACGUCCUGAGGGAGAAAGUGGGGGAUCUUCGGACCUCACGCUAUCAGAUGAGCCUAGGUCGGAUUAGCUAGUUGGUGGGGUAAAGGCCUACCAAGGCGACGAUCCGUAACUGGUCUGAGAGGAUGAUCAGUCACACUGGAACUGAGACACGGUCCAGACUCCUACGGGAGGCAGCAGUGGGGAAUAUUGGACAAUGGGCGAAAGCCUGAUCCAGCCAUGCCGCGUGUGUGAAGAAGGUCUUCGGAUUAUAAAGCACUUUAAGUUGGGAGGAAGGGCAGUAAGUUAAUACCUUGCUGUUUUGACGUUACCAACAGAAUAAGCACCGGCUAACUUCGUG
rnacentral:rRNA from 1 species